CAAUGCAGUAGUAAUAAAUGCGAGAAUAUUGACUUCCAUAAUCUCUUUAUUUUUUUUCACAAUAACUCGGGAUGUAAUCCCAUAGAGAGGAAAAAGGGGUAUCCUGUAAAUUUAAGGGGAGGACUUGCAUUCUGAUAAUACUGAAUCAAUUCAAUAUUAUGAAUAUUGGAUCUAUCAAAUCAAUUUAUGGUUGAUAGUGGAAUAAUAUAAUAUAGGAGGAUCCCUUAUCCAUACUAAGACCAAAAUAGGUUUUUUGAUUGGAUUCGAAACUCCCUCUAUUCUAUGUUGCAUUCUUUUCUACUUUUGCUUUUCCAUAUGUAUACCCAAAAUCCUUCUUAUCUUAUCCAAUUUCCCUUCCUUUUUCUUAUAGUUAUACAUACAAUUAUGUAUGUAUGUAUUAUAUGACCUACUUUCUAUGGGUCACAUAGACAUCCAAAUAAGGAGUAGAAGUAGAAAUGAGAUGGAGAAAAGGGUAUCUUAAAUAAAAAGGAUCCAAUAUUUAAACUUAGGAAAAAAAGUGUUUGCUUGGUUUUAUUUUAUUAGGUUACCAUCAAUAUCUGCUUUUCUUCGCAAGUCUCUCAACGCUCCACUCCUUCCUCAAGACAAAAAGCGGAAGGAUCAAGGGGACAAUGAUGAGGGUGACAAGUCAGGGGCUCAAGACUUCCAAGACCCGAAAAAUGUUGUCAAUGUCAUUUUUGGCAGAGACGGUGGCUUCCCCUCGAGGAGCGCACAGAAGCUGACCCUGCACGAAAUUCUCUCUGUCGAGCCGGCCAUACAGAAACCUCUGAGAUAUAGCGAGGUCCCAAUCUCCUUCUCUAGGGAUGACCAGUGGACUAGCUUCUCCGAGCUGGGAAAAUUCCCACUCGUCCUAGAUCCUAUCAUGGCAGGCUCACAAUUGACUCAAGUACUCAUCGACGGCGGGAGCGGCCUCAACCUGCUCAUUGCGAGUACAUUGAAGAUGAUGGGGCUGAACAUCUCCAAGAUGCUUACCCCCAGUAGAGCUCCAUUCUACAACAUCGUCCUGGGAAAUGUGGCUAUACCACUCCGCUCAGUGGCCCUGCCAGUUACUUUCGGGACGAAAGACAACUACCGCAAGGAGUACAUCAAGUUCAAGGUGGCCAACUUCGAGUCAUCAUACCACGCCAUCCUCGGCAGACCAGCUUAGGCCAAAUUCAUGGCCAUACCUCACUACGUCUACUUACUACUCAAGAUGCCAAGUAAGACAAGUGUACUCACGUUCUGUUCAAGUCAUACGACUGCAACCAAGAGGCGAUCGAGUAUGCCACGACAUCACGCAUGCUAGAACCUUUUGCGAAAGUCUUCAUGGCCAUGCAAAAGCUCACGGACUCAGAGAUGGAGAUCCCCAAUCAGAGGCCUAGCCAGUCCAGAGUAAAGCCCAACCCUAGCAACGUUGGCAUCAAGACCAUUCAGCUACAAAAAGGCGACUCAUCCAAGACUGCUUUGAUUGAAGGCGGCUUGAACGACAAAUAGGAAAGUGCGCUCAUCAGCUUCCUUAGGGCCAACCAUGAUAUAUUCGCGUGGAAACUAGCGGAUAUGCUGGGCGUGCCCAAGGAGUUGAUUGAGCAUUGCCUAAAAGUUGACCCCAAAGCCACUCCGAAGAAGCAGCGACUACGACGCUUCAUAGCAGACAAGAGGGAGGCCAUCAAGAAGGAGUUAGCAAAACUACUCACGGGUAGUUUCAUUAAAGAAGUCUACCACCCCGAGUGGUUAGCCAACCUGUACUAGUUUUGAAAGUAAAUAAUACUUCAGCUCUUCACUAAAAUAUACACCAACAAAUUUUCCCGUUGGGAAAAGUAAUGUAUUAUUUACAUUUUUUACGACAAGAAUGGGAGUUAAGUAUAAACAAUGAGGAAUGUGAGAUGCUGAAUCCUUCUGAUACUAAAAAGGUAAGGUACGAAGCUCGUUAUACCAAAAUGAAUGGAGGAUAUGUGUGGAUUACAUUGAUCUCAACAAACACUUCCCGAAGGAUCCAUUCGCGCUCCCACGCAUCGAUCAAGUCAUUGACUCUACGGUUGGCUAUGUCUUGCUCUCUUUCCUUGAUUGCUACUCGGGUUACCAUCAUAUUGCUCUCAAGGAACAAGACCAGAUCAAGACAGCAUUCAUCACCCCUUUUGGAGCAUAUGCCUGCACAACUAUAUCCUUCGGGUUGAAGAACGUAGGAGCCACCUAUCAGCGGGUGUCGGUGUUUUACCGCCUGCCCACCGAGGGGUAUACCCGAGGUGGUAAGUUUUAGGUAGGGUGACGCCGAGAUCAGGAACUCGAAGGUGCAAGCAACACUAGGUUUAGACAGGUUCGGGCCAUGAUGUGCGUAAUACCCUACGUCUUGUAUGGUGGUUUGUAUUGCCUUGGGUGUUGAUGUGUUUUGAGGGGGUCCCUGCCCGCUCUUAUAUAUCCGGGAGGACAGGGUUACAUGAAUCCCAAUCCGACACUAGCCUAGGAAUCGUACUCGAGUACAACUCGAUUAGCUUCCUUCUGCAUCGGCUAGUCCUACUUCGCAUGCGAGUAGAAUACAACACAGAUAAGGUAUAGGACAUGUCCUAUUCCCUACUCCUGUAUGAACUACGUUAUGUACGCAGUCCCGUAGUCCCGGGUCUGACAAGCCCCCGAUCUCUUUGUAGCUAAGUACUGCAGGCUCUUCAAGUACUUUCGAAGUAGUCUUCAGCUUCUUUCGAAGCUCCGUCUUGAAGUUCUUCUUCGAGUACUUCCUUGGAUGCAUCGAAGCUAUGAGGUGCUCAUGCCUCAAAUUACUUCUUUCGUUGGUGUGCGAUGAAAAAUCGCACUCCAUAUGGAGUAGCCCCCGAGCCUUAGGUUGAAUCGAAGAAUCAGGCUAAGGGUCACAUUAGUCUUGAAUCUUCCUUACUCUUCGAAUAUUUUUAAAAAAUAAAUAGUCGAUGCCAUGUAUCCCGCAGCCCCCGAGCCUUGAAUCCAAAUCUCUCAGGUUUGGAAAAAAGGAUCCAAUAGUUGUGGCAUGCAGUGAAAAAAUGUUCCCUUGGGAAAUAAUUGGUUUGAUGAUACAGAUGAUGGAAGUUAGAUUUAGAAUUCGAAAAACCCCUUUUUUCAGGAUAAUUAACCCUAAAAAAAUGAUUAAUCGAAUAAUUUAUCUAAAAAUCCACCAAAUGACCCCUCGGCUUCCGAAUAUUCCCUGUGAUGACUCUUCAAUUUCAGAAUAGUAAACCUGUAUUUGGUCGCUUUUUAUUUAACCCCGCUGUAACAUAGGGUAAAAUCCAUGCUUCCAAUCUUCAAUCCGCCGAGAAAUUUCCGAAUCCCCAAUCAGAUCCGUGCUCUGCCUUCACCUCCUUUGACAAGCCCCAAGCUAGCCGAAUCUCUCCGCCCCUUCUCUGCAGCCCUCGAGCAGCUCGUGGCAAACAGAUCUAGAAUGGUGCCCAAGAGAUCCAACGAGAAAGAUGGGAAGGGGAAGGAAUCGGAGCUGCCUUUUGGGGAGUGGACUUACAGUAAGUGCUCCAAUAACGACCUCCUGCAUCUUGUUUCUGAGGGUUUGCUUCAGGGGAACAGUCUCGUUAACUGGCACCCUUGUUUUCACCAAUCUCUUCCCAUGGAGAAUGUAGACGAAAUCGUCUCAUUCUACCAUUUCUCUGAAUGGGGUUUGGCUCUCCCCACCUGUUUCUUCUUCCGUGGCCUUGUUUACUUCUACGGGCUUGAGCUCCAUCAUCUCAACCCGAACUCUAUCUACCAUAUUGCUAUUUUCAUCCACUUUUGUGAAGCUUUCCUCAGAAUUGAACCCCAUUGGGAACUUUUCUGCUAUCUUUUCCACGUAAAGCCGCAACCCACCUCCAAAAGUCCAUCCGUUGUAGGGGGCGCUGGUGUGACAGAACCGCUUGAAUUAUUCCGGCUCAAGUGCGUAGAUCAUUGCUAUACAAGCGAUAUGACCUCAACACACUUCAGAUGGAAUAACCCAAUGGUCUGUCAGGUAACGUCCCGAUAAAACCACCGGAUUCCGGAUCGUUCAAGCGUACCUCGCACGAAGGCGAGUCCAGAUAUACAAUCACUGUUACAUUUUUACAACAUAGUCAUAGUAGUUGUUACAAACCGGUUUCUAGUAGAGUGCUGCAAUCCUAACUGAAACAAAUUUAUAUAGACAUUGUUUGAAAACUUCAAGUUUCAACAAACAUUAUUCCAAGAUGGCAGCGGAAAAGAUACAACAACGCAACUACUCGUCGCAAAGAAGGCACCAUACUUAGCCCAAAGCAUGGCGUCAUUCCAAAGGGUCAUUGCCGGCCGGGGACGGAUCCCAUUCCACGGACCAGCCAGGCGGUAAAGUGCAGGGCCAAGGAGAACUAGCAACUGAGUCCUCAAAUGACAUACCUGAAAACCACAUUACGAGCAAGGCUGAGUAUGCUAAUACUCAGCAAGGCUUACCCGUCAAUUGGGUAUACUUAGCCCAUAACUGGACCAUGAGAUGUUGAAAGGCUCUAGGUUUCUUUUGCUGAAAAACAACAAAGAGUAUAUCUUUAUUUCCAUAUUUUAGCUUUCAGAUUCUAGUUCAAUUAGCCAUUCUAAGUGAGCAUCUAUACUAGACAAGCAAGUUAGGUAUUAAAUCAUACAUCAAUAUUAUUCCACCAACUGUUGCUCUUGUUACUCUAUGUGGCAGAAGUAUCAAGCAGUCUCACUCACCGCGAGAAACGGAUGAUUCCUGAAUCGAAUUUCUUAACCUUGCAAGCGAUCCUAACUCACACGCUCGGAACUUUCCUUUCCGGGCAACCAUUCCCCUCAUAUUUUGGGUCGUGGAUUAGCGCCACCACACGCGACUGUAGGACCAUACGCACAUCCAAUGUGCAGGACGUACGUCUACAGCGCGACUGUAUGACCGUACUCCUGUCUGCUAUGCAAAAUGUACUCCCACACGUUGGUGCGUGUGUACAUAAACCAAAAUUCGAGUGGUGGGGGAUAUGUCCACUUGCCGGGCCAAUCAGGUACUAGGCUUACCGCGUACCAUAUUUACGGUUUGUGGCUAGUACUUUCAAACACUUGACCACCACUACCACACAUUACGGCCUUAUCAAAUUGAUCAACACAGACGGGUACCAUCCCAUGUCAUGGUACUGCACAUAACCCCGUCCGUGAUCCUUAUAGUGAUUGCAAAAUAGUAAACAAUCAAUUCCUAUAUCGCGCGAGUGAUAGAAAAUCACUCGACUUCUACUGGUCCUAUUAGCAAAGCAUCUACUCGAUAAGGACUCAGAAAUAUUACAUAGGUUCCUAGGUUUCAUGCAACUAGGGUUUCAUAACAACUCCUAGCACUUAAUGCACAAGAUAGAUAUAUAACAAUAAAAGUGCAUAAUGUUAAAUUACUGGGUUAUGCACCGGGGCUUGCCUUCACUGGUGAGGCUGGGGUCAGUGAUAUUAGUAUCUUCUGAACCUGGGUUCAGGGCUUCAGAAAGACCCUUGGUGACAUUUACUUGAGCUUCAGAAAUACCCUCGUCGGGAUCCGGGAUUAGAUCGUAGGUACCGUCGGCAAGUGUAGUCAAAUCUACAUGAUAUUUAAUUAUUUGAAGCAAAUGGUUAUUAUUUUAUUUUCACGAUAAAGUUGAAAUCCAACAAGAAUAUAUUCAAUAUAUCACUUCAAGACUUAACUAAUUUGUACAAACAACAGAAAGAUUUGAAACUAAACUUAAGUAGAGUUUUUGGUGUAAAAACUUUGUUCAAAACAGUUAUUUGGUGAAGGUUACAGAGCUGAUCUGAUCUACUUAACAGCAUGUUCUUCAGACAGUUUAUCUAGCUGAUUGGGGUGUGCAUCGAAAAAGUCUGAUCUGUGCAUACGGCAUCGACUGUGUUUAGCCGAUUGAAGUGUCCUAUAUCAGCUGUGCCUUAGCCGAUACCUGCCUGAGGUGUUAACCUGCGUAUCUACUUGUGCACGCAUCGGCUUGAUUUUUCUUUGGCAAAAGUAGCCGAUAGAGGUGUAGCCGAUCGACGUAUAGUCGAUGAGCGUGUGGUCGAUGGGUGUGUAGCUGACAGGCAUGUAUUUUGCAAACAAGACCCUAGAAAGAAACAGAGACUUGCAUUUGGGUCCCUAAUUGAUUUGAACAGAAGAAGUCCAGCAACGGCGAUUAAAAUUCGGUGAGGAGACUCACCGGUGGUGAGGUUAAGGUGGGGAAAAAGGUUCAGGAGCUCACGGCGGACUUGGGGGUGGCUGGAAUCGUAGAAGGGAAGCUUGGAGGCGGCGGUUCGACUAGAUACAGAGCCGGCGCGGUGAGGUUCCGAGGGCGGCGAUGGUGUUCCGGCGACUGGAGUGCAGGAAGGUGAAGGAAAUUGGUCAGGGAGCUUCGGCGUGGAGAUGUGGUGCUGAUGGUGCCCUUGGCGAAGGAGGAGAAGGGGUGGAACUUUGGUAAAACUAGAAUUAGAACGGCGGCGGAGAGUGAGAUCGCUGGCGCGAUGUUCUGGGCUUGGUGUGCGCGGAAGGAGGAAGAAGAGUGGAUCAGGAAGGGGCAGUCAGAUGCGGUGGUGCUGGUGGAGCACGAAAUUGGAGAGGAGAAGCGGCGGAGACGGUUGACGGCGGUGGACAGAGGAGCUCCGGCGAAGUAGUCGAGCGGAGAAGAGAACAGGAAUGCGGGUGCCCGCGAGGGGAUAGAAGAAAGGAGAAGGUUACUGGGCGCAUUUCCAAGCUAAAAAGAGGUGUGCGGGCGGGCGGCAAGCAGCUGCUGGUGGUCGACGGCGUGCAUGGUGGCUCAGGCAGGCAGCGGCGCGACGCGUUUGCGUGAGGAGGAGCCAGCGGGGUCGGUUAAGCGGCGGGCGGGCGAGCUGGGGCCAGGUGGUGCAGGAAGAGCGGCGAAGGGGCAGCUGGCGGUCGGGGAAAAUGCCGGCGAUGGGUGGUGGGUGGCGCUGCAAAGAAACAGAGAGGGGGAAGCAGGAGGAAGAAGAUGAGGACCUGUUAGUAAAUUUUGCAAAAGUUCAAGGAGUUCAGUCAAAAAUAAAAUUUUAUUCCAAACUAUAGCUCUAAUGAAAAUAUGCCCAAAAUCAAAAGUGUAGAGCUUAAAAAUAUCUACCACUUUGCUUUAGGGUCUAACUUAAGAAGAGUUAGGGUUUUGAAAUUACAUUUAAAAAUCAACAAAUCAUUCAAUUUUAAAUAAAUCCAAAAUAAGUUUUACCCUUUCAAUGAAGCCUUGGAGUAUUUACACUUCUUACAGUGGUUAAAGAGUGAAAACUCAUGUUUGCAAAUUAACCAUUCAUAUUUUUGAAAUUACCUCCCAUUUAUACACAAUUUACAAAAAGAACCCUAAUUUUUCCCAAUAUUACAAAAAUACCCUUUAACGUGUUUUUAAGUUUUUAAAGGCAUUCAUCAAAACAAACACAAACUUCACACUAACAAGCUCAACUUCAUACUAAAAAUUAGCGUGCCUAGCUCCUAAGUACCUGAAAUGUCACAGCCUCUCUCCCUAAAAAGAAUCUCGUCCUGAGAUUCCAGAACAGAAGGGAAUUGAAAGAUUAGAUACUUGGUUUCGCUCUAAGGAAGUCUGGAAAGUUGUGCUGAAGAUAAGACUCAGUUUCCCAAGUCACUUCUUCUUCAGUAUGAUAGUUCCAUUGGAUCUUAAACAUCCUGACUGUCUCUCUUCUUGUGGUUCUCUCUUUAGUAUCCAGUAUUCUGAUCGGAUGUUCAGUAUAAGAUAGGUCUGGCUUGAUUUUGAUGGGUUGGAAAUUGAUGACCUCGGUAGGGAUUUUGAUGCAUUUCUUAAGCUGAGAUACAUGGAAGAUAUUAUGAAUGGCUGCUAGCUGGUAAGGAAGUUGAAGACGUUAAGCUACGGGUCCACAAGUUUCAAGAAUUUCAAAAGGUCCAACGUAUCGAGGAGCGAGUUUUCCUUUCAUACCAAACCGUUGAACACCUCGGGUAGGAGAUAUCCUUAGGUAUACAAAGUCACCAACUUCAAAUUGCAAUGGAAGAUAUUAUUUUGAAUGAUCUUCACUUUUUCUUCUACUUCAGUGACAAGAUCAGGUCCAAAAAUUUUACGUUCGCUGGUUUGAGACCAAUUCAAAGGAGUUCGGCAUCGGCGACCGCAUAAUGCUUCAAAAAGAGCCAUUUUGAGACUCAACUGAUAACUAUUAUUGUAGGAGAAUUCUGCCAAGGCUAAGCAUUUGUCCUAAUUUUUGUCAUAUUGGAUUACACAGGCUCUAAGCAUAUCCUCUAGGAUUUGAUUUAUCCUUUUCGUUUGUCCAUCUAUUUGCAAAUGAUACACGGAGCUUCGAAUUAAUUUUGUUCCAAGAGAGUGUUGGAGUUGCUCCCAGAAACGAGCAAUGAACUGUGCUCCAUGAUCAGAGAUGAUUGUCUUAGGUAUUCCAUGGAGACGAACGAUUUGGUCUAGAUAGAUCUCGGCAUACUUCUUAGCAUUGUAAGUAGUAUGCACGGGAAGGAAAUGGGCGGUUUUGGUUAAUCGAUCAACGGUUACCCAAAUAGAAUCAUGCCUCCGGGAAGUGUUGAGUAAGCCAACGAUGAAAUCCAUGCUGAUAUCUUCCCACUUCCAAGAAGGAAUGGGUAAAGGUUGAAGAAUACCAGCAAUUUUUAAGUGACUGGCUUUAACUCUUUGGCAAAUAUCACACUCAGAGACAUAUCUUGUAAUUUCUCUUUUCAUGCGAGUCUACCAAAAGUUUUGUCUCAGGUCUUGGUACAUUUUGGUACCGCUAGGGUGCAUAGAGAACUUGAAUAGAUGUGCCUCAUCUAAAAUCUGCUUACGAAGCUGAUGGUCCUUGGGUACAACAAUACGUCCCUUGAACCAUAGAAUUCCUUUGUGAUCUACUUGAAAACACUUAUACUUUUCUUCUCCCGAGCUAGCUGUUGUUUGAUGAUUUUGACUCCUUCAUCAUGUAGUUGUGCCCUAAUAAUACUAUUUUGAAGUGUGGGUUCAACUGCUAUAUGAUUCAAACUACCUUGAGGAAUAAUCUCAAGAUUAAGCUUUCUCAUUUCCUAGCAGAGAGUUUCACUGAUGCUUCUAUUGAUAAGCAAUGGCAACGCGCUUUGCAGCUGAGUGCAUCCGCAACCACAUUGGCUUUGCCUGGAUGAUAGUGCACUUCCAGAUCAUAAUCUUUUAUAAGCUCUAGCCAACGUCUUUGUCUCAUAUUUAGAUCUGCCUGUGUAAAAAUAUACUUGAGACUCUUAUGGUCAGUGUAAAUGUUACACUUAGUACCCAUAAGAUAGUGUCUCCAGAUCUUAAGCGCAUGGAUAACGGCUGCAAGCUCAAGAUCAUGGGUAGGAUAGUUCUAUUCAUGAGUCCUAAGUGCUCGUGAGGCAUAAGCAAUUACUCGGUUGUUUUGCAUGAGUACACAACCAAGUCCGAUGCCCAACGCAUCGCAAUAGAUAUCAAAUGGUUUGGAAUUAUCUGGCUGAGCCAAAACUAGAGCAGUAGUGAGGUGUGCUCUUAGAGUGUGGAAUGCCUCUUCACAUUUCUCAUUCCAGGAGAAUUUAACUCCUUUCUUCAGCAAUUCUGUCAUUGGCUUGGCUAUUUUAGUGAAGCCUGGGAUGAAACGAUGGUAAUAGCCAGCAAGACCAAGAAAACUACGGAUCUGAUGGACUGAAGUAGGGGGCUUCCAAUCCAUCACUUCCUAAACUUUACUUGGAUCAAUAGAUAUACCGUCAUUGGAGAUGGUGUGACCCAAAAAUUUAACUGUAUCUAGCCAAAAUUCACAUUUGGAGAAUUUGGCAUACAAGUGGUGUUCUCACAAUCUCUAAAGAAUAAUAUAAAGAUGUCUAGCUUGAUCUUCUAGAUUUUUGGAAUAGAUCAGAAUAUCCUUGAUGAAUACUACGACGAAUUUAUCAAGCUCUGGCAUAAAGACAGAGUUCAUGAGAUACAUGAAAUAUGCUGGGGCGUUGGUAAGGUCAAAAUACAUAACUAGAUAUUCAUAAAAUCCAUAUCUGGUGGAGAAUGCUAUCUUUGGGAUGUCGCUGGGCUUAAUCUUUAUCUUGUGAUAUCCAGAGCAAAGGUCAAUUUUGGAGAAUACCUUGGAUCCAGCUAAUUGAUCGAACAAGAUGUCAAUACGGGGAAGAGGAUAUUUGUUUUUGAUGGUUACUGUAUUGAGGGGGCGAUAGUCCACAUAUAGUCUGAGUCUAUGGUCCUUUUUCUUUACAAACAAAGCUGGGCAUCCCCAUGGUGAAGCACUUGGAUGAAUAAAACCUUUAUCAAGAUGGUCCUAAAGUUGAACUUUUAAUUCUGCCAGCUCAUUGGGUGGCAUACGAUAGAGUCUUUUAGAGAUGGGGGCUGUACCGGGUUGUAACUCUAUAAUAAACUCAAUAUCCCUAUCAGAAGGCAUCCAGGGCAAAUCAUCUAGAAAAACAUCUGGGUAAUCACAUACGACAGGGAUGUCCUCAAGCUUGAUCCCUUCUAUGGUAUAAACGCAAGAAUCGAUAUAUUUCCACUGUGGAAGAUAUAGAAUAGUAGCCUUGUAAUCAGGUGAGUCUAUCUCAACCGCUCAGGAAGAGAUAUCUAAUGAUAUGGUGCCUAGUUAUCUAAUCCAUACCUAGUAGGAUAUCCAUUCCUUCUAGGUUUAGCAAAAUUAAAUCUGUCUUUAUCAGGUUGCUACCCAUUU
rnacentral:lncRNA from 1 species